UACGUAGGGAGCAAGCGUUGUUCGGAUUUACUGGGCGUAAAGGGCGCGUAGGCGGCCUGUCAAGUCAACUGUGAAAUCUCCGGGCUUAACUCGGAACGGUCAGUUGAUACUGUCAGGCUAGAGUGCAGAAAGGGCAAUCGGAAUUCUUGGUGUAGCGGUGAAAUGCGUAGAUAUCAAGAGGAACACCUGAGGCGAAGGCGGGUUGCUGGGCUGACACUGACGCUGAGGCGCGAAAGCCAGGGGAGCAAACGGG
rnacentral:rRNA from 1 species